GACAGAGGGGGCAAGCGUUAUCCGGAAUUAUUGGGCGUAAAGCGCCCGUAGGUGGUUUGGCAAGUCUGGGGUUAAAGCCCGGAGCCUAACUCCGGAUCGGCCCUGGAAACUGCCAGACUAGAGUAAGGUAGGGGUUGCGGGAAUUCCCGGUGUAGCGGUGAAAUGCGUAGAUAUCGGGAAGAACACAAGUGGCGAAAGCGCGCAACUGGGCCAUUACUGACACUGAGGGACGAAAGCGAGGGGAGCGAAUGGG
rnacentral:rRNA from 1 species